ensembl:lncRNA
CCUGAAUGUAUUUCCGUGCAUUUGAGCGUGAUUAAUUCGGAAGGACAAGUUGGUAAUCUUGUCUUUAUUAAGGAAAAGGUAACCAUGUCUGAACGUCAAAGCAAAAACAGCAGGGCAGCUGUUUGCAAAUGACCUUCUGUAUUUGAACAUGUGAGUUCCAGGCAGACAUUGAUUCAUGUCUGGUGCAGUAAAUGCUUUUGUUUGGCCACCCUCCUCUGAUCUUGAAAUUCAAUUGCAGGCGGAUUGACAUGAGAUGCUGCGAGAGAGUUGUGCUGCUUUUAUAUCAGUGAAACAGUUUUUUCCUGUCAGAGAUGGACCCUGGUGGGUUCCAAUUACAUAUUUUACAAUGCCAUGUCUAUAAUGGUUAGAUUUUCUGUUUUUGGAGAAUGACGCCUACGAGGGCCACGGCCGAGAAGACUUUCAGUUUUAGUGAGACGAGGACUUUUGUAUAAUACUCGUUAAAUUGACCAAUUUAAUUUAAUUUCUGGUUUCACUAAAAUUGUUUUGUUUUAAAGGACUACUGUGUCCUUCUGGCUGUGGAGCAAAAAUGUUUGCCCGACUCAGUGAAACGGUAUCGUAAUCAUAUCCUCCUGGAGAGAGACAAUCAAAUCAGCAGUAAAUCCGCUAACAAAUAAAUAUGACCAAGCGGAAGCAGUAGGAUUCUUGCUCAGGAUAUGCAGCACUGCCUUUAACAGGUCCUCUAGGG